ACGAUGGACAUUGCAAAGAGUGGCGAACGGGUGAGUAACACGUGGGAAACCUACCUCUUAGCAGGGGAUAACAUUUGGAAACAGAUGCUAAUACCGUAUAACAAUGACAACCGCAUGGUUGUUAUUUAAAAGAUGGUUCUGCUAUCACUAAGAGAUGGUCCCGCGGUGCAUUAGCUAGUUGGUAAGGUAAUGGCUUACCAAGGCGAUGAUGCAUAGCCGAGUUGAGGAGGGUAAUCGGCCACAUUGGGACUGAGACACGGCCCAGACUCC
rnacentral:rRNA from 1 species